rnacentral:sRNA from 1 species
AUAUAAGAUUCACAAAAUUAUUCAUAAAAUCUGUUUUUUUAGCCGGUUUAGAUAUCAAUUUAUAACUACAAUACUAAUUUUGAUUGUAGGUUUAGAUUGAAUCGAAUCAUAUAAAGUUUAGGAGAUUGUUAAGACCAUAUUACCUUUAAUGAUUUUGAACAACAAAAAACAAAAUCCAAAAUUAAAAUCAAAAU